CCGGGGAGGCGGCAGCUAUUGUUCCCCGCGGGGGUGGGAGGCUCUCCGACUCGGGGUCCACGCCGGCCCUCUCUCCAGUGUGCCCCCAGGUUCGAGCCUGGGUGGGAGCCUCCUCUGUGUGUUUUUGCCGGCGACGGAGAUGGCAUCGUUGCUGCCCCAAGGGGUUAGCAGACGCGGGUGAAAGAGAUUUUACUCUUCCAUAUAAAAUGACCCCAACUAGAUAUAGGAACCAUUCAAGAGACUUACCUCUGGAGGAGGAAAUGGCAACCCACUCCAAUAUUCUUGCCUGGGAAAUCCCAUGGACAGAGGAGCCUGAGAGGCUACAGUCCACAGAGUAGCAAAGAGUCACGACUGAGCAAUGAGCAGGAAGAAGAGAUUUUACCACAAGAUCUGGGACAAGACUUGUGUAGUAUCUCCCACCAGGCUGAUCUUCUGGGAACCCAUCACCUGCUUCUACUGCACAUGACUGGACAUCCAUUAACCUUGGCUCUUCAUGUGUGGAAACCUUUUGUUUACUGUGCUUCAGAAGGCUGGGCCUGGCCUGAAAAUGGAUCUUUGAAUUGUCUUUGUACUUUCCCAACUUGCCAAGUUUCUGAAAGAAGGACCAGAGUAAUGCCAAGAGUUGCCAGAUGAAGAGGACCUUCCUGGAUUCUGUAACUGGGAUUAACCCAUUCUUGACUUCAGGAGGCAGUUUCAACUAAUUCUCAGGAUAAAGUCUAAACAGGCCUGGGAUGUCCCUUGAAUAUCCAUGGUGUAAACAGGCUUCUGGCUCCCCCAGGUCAAGAAGAGAAACACUUUUUUAGAAUGUUGGGUUUCUCCUUUGUUAUUCAUACACCCACACUUCACUCUCCUUAAUGAAAAACCUCAACAGAUGGGGAGCCUAGGUGCUCAAGCCUGCUGGCUGAGAUCACUUCACUCAAGGGUCAGUUGGCCAGUACAGAAUGGGGGAGGGAGAGGGAUGAGUAACUACUAUGGUUAAUUACCACCUUUAAAGUACUCCUUACAGAUACAAAUUUUAAAAAUGCUUUUCAGCAAGGUUAGCAGCCUCUGGGGCCUGGGAAACCAAUUUCGCUGAUGCGUCUCUGAUAGGGACUAAGCUUGCGGAUGCACCAAGGGGCAAGCACUUGCUCUGUAUUCUCUCCCUCUCUUAUUUGGAAGCCUCUACAAAGAAAUGGUACAAAUGGAUAGUUAACAAAUGAUUCCAUCUGAGAAGGAUUUUUCUCUGUGAGGUCCUUAGAUAAGGCUGAGGUCUGAAAGCCAGGAGGGUGAAUGCCUUAUCGCCCUUUCUUGCCACCUUUCCUCUGCAACUUCCCUAUCCCCUUGGCUAACUCAGUAGGGUUUUCUCACUCCACUGCAGGCUGGGUCUUGAGUUUCUCUUUGGUAGCCAGGGCAGGGUCUCCUUGUCCCUAAAUCUUUUCCCACCCCCAGCUCUCAUUCUGCAGCUGAUCAUUCCAGCUACUUCAUCUCAACCCUGCUUUAAUUCACGUUUGAUUGGCAAGACAGACCAGGGGGCUCCCAAAUGACUUCCACCCCCAUCCGUAGGCCUGGGCUUGGAGCCCUGACCCCUUUCUUCUGGUCCCAGGAGAAUCGCCCACAACCUCCCUGAUAAGACCUCCCUCCAAUGGGUCUAAGUAAGGGGGGCGGGGGGAGGCAGAACCGGCCACGGCCAGAGCCAAAGAACCAUUUCCUGCUCUUGGGCAAAGGGGUUAACCUCCCCAGCCCAAGGCCCGCAGCGAGGCCG
ensembl:lncRNA